rnacentral:rRNA from 1 species
CCUACAGGUGGCUGCAGUGGGGAAUAUUGCACAAUGGGCGCAAGCCUGAUGCAGCCAUGCCGCGUGUGUGAAGAAGGCCUUCGGGUUGUAAAGCACUUUCAGCGGGGAGGAAGGCGUUAAGGUUAAUAACCUUGUCGAUUGACGUUACCCGCAGAAGAAGCACCGGCUAACUCCGUGCCAGCAGCCGCGGUAAUACGGAGGGUGCAAGCGUUAAUCGGAAUUACUGGGCGUAAAGCGCACGCAGGCGGUCUGUCAAGUCGGAUGUAAAUCCCCGGGCUCAACCUGGGAACUGCAUUCGAAACUGGCAGGCUAGAGUCGUGUAGAGGGGGGUAGAAUUCCAGGUGUAGCGGUGAAAUGCGUAGAGAUCUGGAGGAAUACCGGUGGCGAAGGCGGCCCCCGGGACAAAGACUGACGCUCAGGUGCGAAAGCGUGGGGAGCAAACAGGAUUAGAUACCCGGGUAGUC